rnacentral:lncRNA from 1 species
CCUACCUUGAGCUCCACAUAUAGCCAUCAUUAGAAGUAGGAUGAAGAAAGGCAAGUCAAAUGCCAUGGUGAGGACAUAUACACAUUAAGCGAUCGGAGAGAAUCAAAUGAGGAGAUAAGCAAGGUUUGUUUUUGAAAACUUAUUAAAAAAUCCCAAGUUACUUGACAAAAGGACUAGAGGUGACUUGAUUUAAGAUCAUUCCAUACCACAACUACCCAAGAUGGCAUGAUAGACACUUCAAAGUUAAUAGGAACAAUGUAUGGCUUGGAAUAACCCUUAUCUCACUUUAUAUAUCCGGAAGUCAUGUUUCAACUUAGUCCUUUCUCCUUCACUAGAGGACGAGAAAAGUUUAAGUGUGGGGGCGUUAUUAACGGCUCUUAAGUACCAAAUUUAGGCCGUCAACUCCUGCAUAAACACAUAAAAUAUGAGCAUCAAUAGUAGUGGUACGAGUUAUUACUAAAAAAUUCCACAAGUGUUGGUGAAUAUUUGUAUGCAGGUCCAUCAAGGGAGAAAACACACCCUAAGAGAAAGGAAACACAGUCUCAACCAAUCAGGAGCAAGCACACGGAUCAAUAGGCCCACAAACAGGAGUAAACUAACUACAUUCACCGCAACUAGUUCGGCCAAACCGCCACUGGCUUCGUUCGCCUCUAGCCACCACGUGUCUCCCUCUGAC